UAUGGUUUGAGAACUAUGUGACUACAUUAUUUUCUGACAUCGAUAAAAUUGUAUCAUCGAAGUGGAUUCAUGUCUAUAAUACAUCCACAGAAUAGAAGCGUAUUUCUACAUAAGGAUAGUAAAUUCCUCCGUGGAUUUGCAUAUAAAUGGAUGAUGAAAAUAUGAAUUCCUUCAUAUUUGGACUUAAAAAAAAAAGAAAGCGGUUCGGUGUAAAAAGUGCAAGCAAUGUUUAACACUCACUUUCCUCUCAUACUGGCUAGAUUCGCUGUUGGUUUUGCAGUAUGAGCCAUUACAAUCCAAAGAAGUUGUCUUUGUCACACGUGUUCAAGUAAAUUUAUGCAAGUGACAGACAUACUUGUAUAUGUAUGCGUACAUCCAGUCAAUCACUUCUUUCUCGCCAAACCAAAGGUCAAUCUCCUUUAUGGCAGACUCAACAGAAUCAGA